CUUUACAAUGAAGGUAGAGUCAUUUAACUCAUUGUUGAGAUAGAAUGUUUCACACUUUAGCGAGGAAUGGAAACAUUCUAUCGGGGCAUUAUCAACAG
rnacentral:antisense_RNA from 1 species